GAUGAACGCUAGCGGCAGGCCCAACACAUGCAAGUCGAGGGGGAGGUUACUUUCGGGUAACUGAGACCGGCGUACGGGUGCGUAACGCGUAUACAAUCUGCCUUUCACUGGGGGAUAGCCCGAAGAAAUUUGGAUUAAUACCCCAUAGUAUAGUAAUACGGCAUCGUGAUGCUAUUAAAGCUUAGGUGGUGAAAGAUGAGUAUGCGUUCUAUUAGCUAGUUGGAGAGGUAACGGCUCCCCAAGGCGAUGAUAGAUAGGGGUUCUGAGAGGGAUGUCCCCCACACUGGUACUGAGAUACGGACCAGACUCCUACGGGAGGCAGCAGUGAGGAAUAUUGGACAAUGGUCGGAAGACUGAUCCAGCCAUGCCGCGUGCAGGAUGAAGGUCUUAUGGAUUGUAAACUGCUUUUGUAAGGGAAGAAUAAGGGCUACGCGUAGUUUGAUGACGGUACCUUACGAAUAAGCAUCGGCUAACUCCGUG
rnacentral:rRNA from 1 species